rnacentral:piRNA from 1 species
UGAGUGGAGCUGACCAGGAAUGUACCGAUGGU